rnacentral:antisense_RNA from 1 species
CUUCACCGAACCCAACAGCAGCGGGCGCUCGGCCGCCCGCUCCUGGCCGUACGUGGCCAUCAGGGCCUGCGCCUC